UGGCGGACGGGUGAGUAACGCGUGGAUAACCUGCCGUAUACAGGGGGAUAACACCUGGAAACAGGUGCUAAUACCGCAUAAGCGCACGGUCCCGCAUGGGACAGUGUGAAAAGCUCCGGCGGUAUACGAUGGAUCCGCGUCUGAUUAGCCAGUUGGCGGGGUAACGGCCCACCAAGGCGACGAUCAGUAGCCGGCCUGAGAGGGCGGACGGCCACAUUGGGACUGAGACACGGCCCAGACUCCUACGGGAGGCAGCAG
rnacentral:rRNA from 1 species